UUCUUGGGGGGCCCCCACGCGCGGUAAUUCCAGCUUCUAAUGGCGGUAUAUUAAAGUUGUUGUGGUUAAAAAGCUCGUAGUUGAAACCUUGGGCCUGGCUGGCCGGUCCGCCUCACCGCGUGUACUGGUCCGGCCGGGCCUUUCCCUCUGUGGAACCUCAUGCCCUUCACUGGGUGUGGCGGGGAAACAGGACUUUUACUUUGAAAAAAUUAGAGUGCUCCAGGGCAGGCCUAUGCUCGAAUACAUUAGCAUGGAAUAAUAAAAUAGGACGCGUGGUUCUAUUUUGUUGGUUUCUAGGACCGCCGUAAUGAUUAAUAGGGACAGUCGGGGGCAUCAGUAUUCAAUUGUCAGAGGUGAAAUUCUUAGAUUUAUUGAAGACUAACUACUGCGAAAGCAUUUGCCAAGGAUGUUUUCAUUAAUCAGGAACGAAAGUUAGGGGAUCGAAGACGAUCAGAUACCGUCGUAGUCUUAACCAUAAACUAUGCCGACUAGGGAUCGGACGAUGUUAUUUUUUGACGCGUUCGGCACCUUACGAGAAAUCAAAGUGCUUGGGCUCCAGGGGGAGUAUGGUCGCAAGGCUGAAACUUAAAGAAAUUGACGGAAGGGCACCACCAGGGGUGGAGCCUGCGGCUUAAUUUGACUCAACACGGGGAAACUCACCAGGUCCAGACACAAUGAUGACUUUGACAGAUUGAGAGCUCCUUUCUUGAUUUUGUGGGUGGUGGUGCAUGGCCGUUCUUAGUUGGUGGAGUGAUUUGUCUGCUUAAUUGCGAUAACGAACGAGACCUUAACCUGCUAAAUAGCCUGUAUUGCUUUGGCAGUACACCCGGCUUCUUUAGAGGGACUUAUCCGGCUCAAAGCCCGGAUGGAAGUUUGAGGCAAUAACACGUCAUGAAUGCCCCCUCCUGCGGA
rnacentral:rRNA from 1 species